AUUGACUAAGGUUUCCAGAGGAAGGCUCGUCCGCUCUGGGUUAGUCGGGUCCUAAGCUGAGGCCGACAGGCGUAGGCGAUGGAUAACAGGUUGAUAUUCCUGUACCACCUAUAAUCGUUUUAAUCGAUGGGGGGACGCAGUAGGAUAGGCGAAGCGUGCGAUUGGAUUGCACGUCUAAGCAGUAAGGCUGAGUAUUAGGCAAAUCCGGUACUCGUUAAGGCUGAGCUGUGAUGGGGAGAAGACAUUGAGUCUUCGAGUCGUUGAUUUCACACUGCCGAGAAAAGCCUCUAGAUAGAAAAUAGGUGCCCGUACCGCAAACCGACACAGGUAGUCAAGAUGAGAAUUCUAAGGUGAGCGAGCGAACUCUCGUUAAGGAACUCGGCAAAAUGACCCCGUAACUUCGGGAGAAGGGGUGCUCUUUAGGGUUAACGCCCAGAAGAGCCGCAGUGAAUAGGCCCAAGCGACUGUUUAUCAAAAACACAGGUCUCUGCUAAACC
rnacentral:rRNA from 1 species